UACGUAGGGGGCAAGCGUUGUCCGGAUUUAUUGGGCGUAAAGCGCUCGCAGGUGGUUCGUUGCGUCGUGCGUGAAAGACCCUGGCUCAACUGGGGGAUGUCGUGCGAUACGGGCGAACUGGAGGCCAGUAGGGGGAUGCGGAAUUCCGGGUGUAGUGGUGGAAUGCGCAGAUAUCAGGAGGAACACCGAUGGCGAAGGCAGGUCUCUGGGCAUUAACUGACGCUGAGGAGCGAAAGCAUGGGGAGCGAACAGG
rnacentral:rRNA from 1 species